rnacentral:misc_RNA from 1 species
AAGUCGUAACAAGGUUUCCGUAGGUGAACCUGCGGAAGGAUCAUUACAGUAAAUUGCUGUAGACCCUGAUGUCUUGGAUUAAAACCAUGGUAUGAAUAAGAUCUGCCAUGUGGCCUAAUAACCUUGGGCAUCCAGCAUCGCCUAACCAUGUUAAAAUAACUGAAAAACGUAGCCUUGGUGAAUUUAUUUGCCAGUGGAAAAGUAUUAAACUCUUUUUAAUUAAGCUCUAUAUAUCACAAUAUGUGUAAUAGUCUGAAAAUAAGUUAAUUAUAUUAAAACUUUCAACAACGGAUCUCUUGGUUCUG